rnacentral:lncRNA from 1 species
UUGACGCUGACGGAUUUUAGGUUUGAUGCACGGAUUUCGAGAAAACUGGAGAUACAUGUAUUAUAUGUAUUUGUGUGUAGUUUUGUCUUUUGGAGAGAGGAUAGGUUUUGUCGCGAAUCUGCAACCAAACUAGGCAAAACGAAAGCGUGGGUUUGAUGUCUCUGUCGUGCUGAUCGCAUUGGUUCGAUCCGUUUGCAAAUCUGACAGACGGAUCUCAUGAUAUCAAGUAUUGAUUGAGGAGGGGUCACUAAUGGCAAAAUGGUAAUUUUGCGAAAAACUCGACAUUUUAUGUACCGUUUUGCGUGAAAUCUAAUGUGGGGGUGUAUUCUCGCGUCUUACACGCACUGUGAGG